rnacentral:rRNA from 1 species
UCCAGAGGGUGCGAGCGUUGUUCGGAAUUAUUGGGCGUAAAGGGCGCGUAGGCGGUGCGGUAAGUCACCUGUGAAAUCUCCUGGCUCAACUGGGAGCUUGCAGGCGAAACUGCCGUGCUGGAGUGUGGGAGAGGUGCGUGGAAUUCCUGGUGUAGCGGUGAAAUGCGUAGAUAUCAGGAGGAACACCUGUGGCGAAAGCGGCGCACUGGACCACAACUGACGCUGAGGCGCGAAAGCUAGGGGAGCAAACAGG